rnacentral:rRNA from 1 species
UACGGAGGGUGCAAGCGUUAAUCGGAAUUACUGGGCGUAAAGCGCACGCAGGUGGCUGAGUCAGUCGAUUGUGAAAGCCCUGGGCUUAACCUGGGAAUUGCAGUCGAUACUACUCAGCUAGAGUAUGGGAGAGGGCAGUGGAAUUCCCGGUGUAGCGGUGAAAUGCGUAGAUAUCUGGAGGAACACCGGUGGCGAAGGCGGCAUCCUGGACCAACACUGACACUGAGGAGCGAAAGCCAGGGGAGCAAACGGG